GGGCCCGCACAAGCAGCGGAGCGUGUGGUUUAAUUCGAUGUUGCACGAAGACCUUACCAGGGUUUGACAUGCAAGUGGUAGGAAGCCGAAAGGUGACCGACCCUUCGGGGAGCUUGCACAGGUGCUGCAUGGCUGUCGUCAGCUCGUGUCGUGAGAUGUUCGGUUAAGUCCGCUAACGAGCGCAACCCUCGCUGUGUGUUAUAUGUGUCACACGGGACUGCCGGUCUUAAGCCGGAGGAAGGUGGGGAUGAUGUCAAGUCAGCAUGGCCUUUAUAUCCUGGGCUACACACACGCUACAAUGGCCAACACAAUAGGUUGCUAAGCCGCGAGGUGGCGCCAAUCCAUAAAGUUGGUCUCAGUUCGGAUUGCAGGCUGCAACUCGCCUGCAUGAAGUCGGAAUCGCUAGUAAUCGCAGGUCAGCAUACUGCGGUGAAUACGUUCCCGGGCCUU
rnacentral:rRNA from 1 species